rnacentral:rRNA from 1 species
UUGAACGCUGGCGGCAUGCUUUACACAUGCAAGUCGAACGGUAGCAGGCCUUCGGGUGCUGACGAGUGGCGAACGGGUGAGUAAUGCAUCGGAACGUGCCCAAUCGUGGGGGAUAACGUAGCGAAAGUUACGCUAAUACCGCAUACGCCCUGAGGGGGAAAGUGGGGGACCGCAAGGCCUCCCGCGAAUGGAGCGGCCGAUGUCAGAUUAGCUAGUUGGUGGGGUAAAGGCCCACCAAGGCGACGAUCUGUAGCGGGUCUGAGAGGAUGAUCCGCCACACUGGGACUGAGACACGGCCCAGACUCCUACGGGAGGCAGCAGGGGGGAAUUUUGGACAAUGGGCGCAAGCCUGAUCCAGCCAUGCCGCGUGCGGGACGAAGGCCUUCGGGUUGUAAACCGCUUUCAGCCGGAAAGAAAUAGCUGUUUUUAAUACGGACAGUGGAUGACGGUACCGGAAGAAGAAGCACCGGCUAACUCCGU